UGAAACUGUACCGUCAGAUAUGUUGUCUC
rnacentral:sRNA from 1 species